UGGGAAUUUUGGACAAUGGGCGCAAGCCUGAUCCAGCCAUGCCGCGUGCGGGAAGAAGGCCUUCGGGUUGUAAACCGCUUUUGUCAGGGAAGAAAUCUUCUGAGUUAAUACCUCGGGAGGAUGACGGUACCUGAAGAAUAAGCACCGGCUAACUACGUGCCAGCAGCCGCGGUAAUACGUAGGGUGCAAGCGUUAAUCGGAAUUACUGGGCGUAAAGCGUGCGCAGGCGGUUUUGUAAGACAGAGGUGAAAUCCCCGGGCUCAACCUGGGAACUGCCUUUGUGACUGCAAGGCUUGAGUGCGGCAGAGGGGGAUGGAAUUCCGCGUGUAGCAGUGAAAUGCGUAGGUAUGCGGAGGAAACACCGAUGGCGAAGGCAAUCCCCUGGGCCUGNACUGACGCUCAUGCACGAAAGCGUGGGGAGCAAACAGGAUUAGAUAGCCCUGGUAGUCCACGCCCUAAACGAUGUCAACUGGUUGUUGGGAAGGUUCCUUCUCAGUAACGUAGCUAACGCGGUGAAGUUGACCGCCUGGGGAGUACGGCCGCAAGGUUGAAA
rnacentral:rRNA from 1 species